GCGUGGCCCAGUGGUUAAGACGCCAGGCUAGCAAGCUGAUAUUGGCGUAGGUUCGAGCCCGG
rnacentral:tRNA from 1 species